rnacentral:rRNA from 1 species
AGGGUUUGAUUAUGGCUCAGAAUGAACGCUGGCGGCGUGCUUAACACAUGCAAGUCGUACGAGAACGCUCUAGCUUGCUAGAGCAAGUAAAGUGGCGCACGGGUGAGUAACGCGUGGAUAAUCUACCUUCGAAUUGGGGAUAACGUUGCGAAAGCGACGCUAAUACCGAAUAAUAUCCAUUAAUCUUCGGUUUUUUGGAUCAAGGGUGGCCUCUACAUGUAAGCUAUUGUUUGAAGAUGAGUCCGCGUACCAUUAGCUUGUUGGUGGGGUAACGGCCUACCAAGGCAACGAUGGUUAGCUGGUCUGAGAGGAUGAUCAGCCACACUGGAACUGACACACGGUCCAGACUCCUACGGGAGGCAGCAGUGAGGAAUUUUGCGCAAUGGGCGAAAGCCUGACGCAGCAACGCCGCGUGAGUGAUGAAGGCUUUCGGGUCGUAAAGCUCUGUCAAGUGGGAAGAACCUAUAUAAUGUUAAUACCAUUAUAUACUGACGGUACCACUGAAGGAAGCACCGGCUAACUCCGUGCCAGCAGCCGCGGUAAUACGGGGGGUGCAAGCGUUAUUCGGAAUCAUUGGGCGUAAAGAGCACGUAGGCGGCCUGGUAAGUCAGAUGUGAAAGCCCGGGGCUUAACCCCGGAAGUGCAUUUGAUACUGCCAGGCUUGAGUAUGGGAGAGGGAAGUGGAAUUCCUGGUGUAGAGGUGAAAUUCGUAGAUAUCAGGAGGAACACCGGUGGCGAAGGCGACUUCCUGGACCAAUACUGACGCUGAGGUGCGAAGGCGUGGGUAGCAAACAGGAUUAGAUACCCUGGUAGUCCACGCAGUAAACGUUGUUCACUAGGUGUAGCGGGUAUUGACCCCUGCUGUGCCGCAGUUAACGCAUUAAGUGAACCGCCUGGGGAGUACGGCCGCAAGGUUAAAACUCAAAGGAAUUGACGGGGGCCCGCACAAGCGGUGGAGCAUGUGGUUUAAUUCGACGCAACGCGAAGAACCUUACCUGAUUUGACAUCCUGGGAAUCCUAUCGAAGACUGAAUGCCCUUCGGGGAGCCCGGAGACAGUGCUGCAUGCUGUGUCAGCUCUGUCGUGAGAUGUGGGUAGUCCCGCAACGAGCGCCACCUUGUCUUAGUACCAUCAUUCAUUUGGGGACUUAAGAAUCGUGCUCGGUCACCGGGGAG